rnacentral:tRNA from 1 species
GCAGUGGUGGUUCAGUGGUAGAAUCUUGUCUUCUAUGCUGGAGACCUGGGUUCAAAUCCCAGCCAGUGCA